rfam:Sus scrofa isolate TJ Tabasco breed Duroc chromosome 14, whole genome shotgun sequence.
GCUUUCAGAACAGCUAAUGUAGCUACAGAGAAACCUGCUUCCUUCAGAGAGC